GUUUAUGCUUUAUAAACACAAAAUAUCGCCUUGAACGUGCUUCCGCUUUCCGUAUUCUUCAAAAAGCUUACGCUGUAUGUCCUACGCCUUCCCUAAUCAAUUUAUGGGAAAAAACGGAACCUGCACUGCAAUUUAUGAUGUGGUUGCUAAGGUACUUGGGGUAGUUGCUAGGGUGUUGCUAUGCAGUUGCUAAGGUAGUCAUGAUGGUUGGUAAGGUACUUGGGGUGGUUACUAAGGUGUUGCUAUUCGGUUGCUAGGGUAUUUUAGGUGGUUGCUAUUGUGUUAGUACUCGAGGUGGUUGCUAGGGUGUUGCUAUGCAGUUACUAGGGUAAUCUGGGUGGUUGCUACUAGGGUGUUGCUAUGCAGCUAGGGUAAUCUGAGUGGUUGCUAAGUAAAUUAUCAGGAAAAUUUUAUUUGAAAGUGGACUAAUCCUUUAAACUAAUUUAUUUCCAAGGCAACAUUUGUAAUUUUCAUUCAAGUUAUCUAAUAUUUAUAUUUUAUUUAUAUUCUUUUUUCUGACAACUGUUUCUGAUGUUUCAUUUAGGAUACUUUACACGACAAUGUACUAUAAGCGUAAAAGUAUUGUAUUGUGCUGCCAGGCCAGUAGUUGGCGAUGUCACUUUGUAAAGAUUUUUUUUAUUACAGAAAAAAAUAUACAAAAUUUGUACAAACAUAUACAACUCACAAAAAAUAUACACAUAUGAGGAAUGUAUAAAGGAAAACAGUUUAUGCCUGAGGUAAGGAAUUUACAAUAAGUUAAAGCGGUGAAAUGCUUCGCAAAUCAUUUUUGUCUUUAAUAUUAUUUAAAGUAGUGCCAAUUUUUCUUUUUUAUUUAUUUUGUCACUUUGUAAAGAAAAACAACGCACCGAUAGACUGAAUGCGCAUGCGCAUUACGUCACCGUUUUUACAAAUUCGGUAUCGUGUUCAAAAACCUACAUUUUGAAUCCCGUUUUCAGUACCCCAAAACGCCGUCGUCGUGUAAAUGAAUGGCCAAAACACAUCUAAGUUUUCCAAAAAAAAAAAAAAGCAUGUAAGUUUUCCGUUCAAAAUGGCGUUGUGUAAACGAACAUUAGUUUCAACGAACAUUUUAGGUGUUUUUGCCGACGCUGGUAGUAGGUAAGCGGUGCUUUGAUGUAAACGGUCCUGCCGCCUCGCUGCCCGUCUGAAGGAACUUCAAAGUGUCCGGAGGAGAGACUCUGGCGCGCCUGGCACUUGUCUUCUCUUAACUAGCUGCCGGCCCCGUUGACUCGGUUAAUGACCUCCAGCUGCGGCGGCUCUUUGAAGGCGGAGCGGCGGUUUGAUGAAGGCCGCGCGCGGAGCACCUGCUGAGGGUUUAGAGGAGCCGCGCAGGUGAACUAAAGCUCGCUUGUCCUCAGUUUAACCCGCAAAACACGGCGUUUUUCUUCCUCAUCCCGUUCAAAGGUGCUUCUGGACACACAUUCCAGCCUCCUGCCGCACCCCUCAUAGUGUAGAAAUAACCUCGUCUGGAGCGCCACGGCUGGAGAAAGUCACUGGCUGUCAUCCGUACGGACACAUGGACGUGAGAGACUCGAGACGACAGAUCUGAUCUUCUCUGUGGACUCUUUCUGGUUUCUCUGGAGUUUCUUCUCUCAGAAUGCUGGAGGAGAUUUUGAUGACUGGAAUUGGACUAGAAGGUCGUGAGUCACGCUUUCCAAAAUAGAGUCAGAAAUACUUCAUGCACCCCUGAGGAGAAGAACGUCUGAGAAAACAGCCACGACUCUGCUGCCUUGGAAACCAAACAGGAAGCGUCAGACAGACGGUGGGCGGCCGAAUCGCUACAGACAGACGACAGACGCAAGCACUGAUGAGCUUCGUUAUCAAGAGAUAACCUGGAAUCAGUGCUUCAAAACAGAACGUCAACUUUCCUGCUGGUGAUCUAGAAACAUUCCAUCAUAACAAGCUAUAAAACACACUACUGUUCAAAAGUUUGGGGUCAGUAAGAAUUUUGAAUUCUUUUAUUCACGCAUUAAAUUGAUCAAAAAUAACAUUAAAGAUUUAUAUAUUGUUACAAAAGAUUAUUUCAAAUAAAUGCUGUUCUUUUGAACUUUCUAUUCAAAGAAUCCUGAAAAAGUAGGCCCAUCAUGAAUUCCAUAGAUUUUUAACAUUAUUUAUUUAUUUAUUUUAAUUUUACAUCUUCUAAUUAAUUUAGUGGUUUUUUUUUUUUUUUUUA